UUCCUUAUUUCAAGAGAGGCCGAAAAGUUUGAAUUUUCCAUUAAAAGACACCCAAGCACAGGAAACCCAGUAAUGGUCUUAGAGAUCCAAAACAGAUACUUUCAGCUUUUAAUGGUUUUAAGUGUAUCCUGAAGGAUUUAUAUGCAAUAGUGCAACCACAUUUUCUAUAUUCAACAGGUAUGCGUGAAAAUAAAAUAGAGUUUCCUGACAUAGAUUCGACAAUAAUUGUUCUAACAAAUUUUUUAUUAGAACGUCUUCAAUGCUUUCCUUAUGAUAGCUGUUGCUUGCCCACAUUUCUUCAUUUGACAAGCGUAGACACUUUUUCAAAUUAAUCGGGUAAUAGGAAGAGCGGAAAAAAAGGGUCAAAAGAUUCCCUAAUAAGGCACUAAAAGUACUUCAAAA